UCGGCUCCGGUUCACGCUCGCCCGUCCGAUGCGGGUGCUGGCGACCCGGCGGCC
rnacentral:ncRNA from 1 species